CAAAUACUUUUGGUCCCUUAGUAAGAACUUUACAUGCCAGCUGUUUGCAGAUGAUAAUUAGAAGUGGUAAUAAUUUUACUGAAUUCUGUCUCUCUAUGUAGGUGAGAAUUUAUGGAAUGUAUACUUUUGCAUUAUUAGUUUGUGUUUUUGCAUUUGAUUUAGUUUUCCUUCCAUUACUUACUCUUUAACAAAAGCAUAACUACCUCAUAAAACACUGUUAAAAAGAAGAUGAAACAACCUAAAAUAUCUUGAAAUAAAUUUCACUUUUUUUUUUUUCUUCUUUUUUCUAUUUUCUUCUAGAAGCUGGAAAGGAUGAGAUAAGGAGACAUUGUAGUUUCAGUCUUUAAACAUUUGGGACUUCUUUAUGAGACUUAAGUCUAUCUAGUAGUGUGAUAGAAACAUUAACUACUUACUUCAGUAACAUUAAUCAGCUGAUGCCAGGCUUCCUGUUGCCUGCUAUAGAAAAGGUGGCUCAGCUUUCCACAGCUGAGACUUCCCCUAUCAAUUUCAAAAUUGUUGUGGAAUCCUGAAUGUGGGAUGGAAAAUGAGAUUUUGACUUUUACAAACAGAAAAGGAAGAUGUCUUGAACUCUCUUGCUAAGGAGGAAAAUGCUCUCCUGCCUGGAUCUCAUCGUCUUUCUUGCGUUGAGAGAGUUGGAGCCACAUUCCCAUCCUCUCUUCUAUGACAGUAACUCCAAAGACUUGCAAUGCGAGACUCAACAUUUAGCCAUCAGCAGCUUAAAAUCCAUCCUGCUGCCUCAGCAUUCCGCUCGCUCUCACCCAACUGCAGCUGCUUCACCUGAUGGCCCUGCACUUUUUCUUCCAACAUUUGAAAUGUAGUUUGUUUUUAUUUAUAACCCUCCCUGGAACAUAUAGUAAUGUCUGUUGGAAACUGAAUCAGCUCAAGCUCCUCUGUAAGAACCCUUGAACAUUUCCCUUUUGGACUCAAUUGGAAAGUUGCAGUUUUCCAUUUUAACUAAAAAUGCUCUGCAGGGAACAAUUCUACAUCUGCAGGGGUAGGCUAUAUGACUCAGUGUAAAUCUUUUCCUUCUUUAACUUCCGUUGUUCUCAUUCUGUUUUGCUAAGGCAUUUUAGUCUCAACUUUCUUCUAAAUGAGGGAACAAAUAUUCAUGAAAAUGAGAACUUAUUAUUAGAAAAAGUAAAAAUUUAAGAUCUUGAAAAUUCCUAUCUGUUGUUGACCUCUAUGUUUGAUAGAAUGAAAGUCACUUUUUCAGUUCCUUCCUUAUACCUUUCUCAAUACAUUUUGUAACUUAUAUUACUAAAAUAUAUGUGUAGAAGAUGUAUUUAGAAUUAGGCUCCUAAAAACAAUAUUAAAGAGUUUGUUUGUGGCAUGUCCUGAUGUUAUAAUAUGAGUUGACAGAGCUUGAGAAGGGAAGCAUGUGUAGAAAUGAAAAAUUUGCUUUGGUCAUUUUACAGGUCCACAGUAGAGCAAAGAAUCAAUUCCUUGUCUUUUAUUGUUCUAUUAUUUAACAUGUUGAAAAAGUGGUAGCUAAAUAUUUUGAGGAAGUGAGAGAGUAUGACCCAUGUACACUAACCAGAAACCUGAGUGUGUAUUCAUUAUUUAAUGAACAGAAUUUGUGGAAAAUGGAGGUUAAUCUAGAAGGGAGUUUAUAACCAUAGGCUAUCCAGAUAGGUAGAACAGCAUUAAGUAACCCCCAGCAGAGAUGUGUUCUGUUUAAAGAUGUGCUGUGCUGCAGAUACACUAUAGAAAAAGGUAGACUGUGGAGAUGUUGUUCCAGCUGCAGUAAUGUCUGGCGGGUGAAGCUGUGGCUUGUAAAGUAUCAAAGAGUGCAGUGAUUCUGGGUCAGUUGUUCAUCUCCAGAGCCUAAGUGUUUUGUGUGGUGUUUGGAAAGAUUUGUCAGCUCAAGCCAGAAACAGCAUCCAAGAACAAAUUCAGUUUUGAUGGUACCUUGAGCAAGGUUGAUCAUGAACAACUGUAAUAAUUCCCUUGAAUAAUAAUUAAUGCAACAAAAGGUUAUAUAUAAAUAUAUAUAUAUAUUUUUUUCUUUUUACAGAAGUUUCAUAAUUGCUGGAAAACUUUUGAUUUUGCUGUGUGUCUUAUUUUUCUUCCCUUUCUUUCUCUUUUUUCUUUUUUCCGUUGUACACAUGAAAAAAGUGAAAAUGAAAGGAAAAGAACAAGGAAAGGAGAAUGAUCUAAAAAUGAUAAUUUAAAAAAACAGUUGUCUUUCUUUGGGAAUAUUUGUUUUUGGAAUAAAGAAGAAACAUCUGAAAACUUGGGUAGCAUGUAUGUGAUCCAUUUUGAGUCAUGUAAUUGUUUUUUGCUGUCACUAUUUCAGUCUUUAUUCAGAUCAAAUCAAUAUGGUUAUUUCUGGGGAUAUUGUUGGCUAGAUUAAAUUUUAAAAAUACUGAAAGAAGGACAACUAAUACUGCAUGAUAAUGUUAGACUUGUUCUUAAAGUGGAUUUUUUUUAAGCUUCAGGAGAUGUGGAAAAUAGAAAAUGGAACUUGAAGUGAAGGCACUUUGGAGUUCUUACUCCAAAGAGUGGCUCCCUCAGCAGAGAAGAAACUCAGAUCAACAGUCUGUUCACAAGAAGCAGAGAAUAGGAGAGCACUGAGAAAGAAUAGGUGAUAACUGGGAUUCAGCACAAAACAGCUUUUCCUUCUGUGCUUUGAAGUUCUGAUUUUAUAAAAAUGUGCAUGUAUCUAGGUUAGCAUGAUGCUGAAAGUGAAGAUUAGCAUAAUGCUAUUUUAUUAAAAAUACAUAAAGCUAAAUAGAAUGUAAACUUUAAAAUUUAUAGUUAGAAAAAAAAGGGGGGGGGAUUUUCUUUUAUCUCUGUUCUGGAAGUUUCUGCUCUAGCAUACAGAGAAGAGAACUUGAACUGAGGAAAGUAUGAUGCUAUAGAUGCUUGAGUCCAUGUGAUAUAAGUGAUAUUUAACUAUGUUUCCAAACAGUUUUGGAAAUAGAGGAUCUUAGUUUGUCCUCAUGCUUCAUAAUCCCUUCACUUGUAAAACAGUGCUGUGGCUACUGGAAAAAGAAACUGGAACUGGUGUGUAGUUUGCCAGGUCUCUCCCGUAUUCGUUUGCCACAGGGAGGCACUCCUCUUCAGGUUGUGCCUUCUCAGCUGCUCUGCAAAAUAUUAAGUGUGGUCCUUUGGUAGUUUAAAAAACAAUGAGUCUUCAUGUCAGUGGUGCUGCUUAAGUCUACAGCUAUAGUGAAUGCAGUGUCCAAAUCCAUUGCCCUGAAAUACGUAUGUCCAUAUUUGAUAUCACAAGGAUAUAGAUUUUGAAAUGGGAGCUUGAAUUAAAAUUUUGACAUUCUUAUAUUCCUGUGCAGAUACGCUUCACUUUUAGUAUUCCUGAAAUCAGCAACCUGAUUUCAUAAAUGCACAACAGAAAAAACAAAGCAAACUGCCUGGCGUUGCAAAGGGAAAAUUCUGUGUAUGCCUUAGCAGAUUUCCCAGGCUGAAAUGGAGUAGUUAUAUAUAAAGAAAAACUGCUUUCAGAUGGGCUUGUUUCCAGAGUUUUGGCAUGUAUAACUAAACGAGGUUUAGGAUCACAUUCAGUAGAAUAAAGAUAUUUAGUCAUUAAAAUCUGUUAACUUUUUUUUUUUUUGAUGUGCAGAAAAAAAAUCAAGAGCACUCAGUUUGCAGUUCAGAAUAUUGAGAGUUAUAGGAGACUUGGUUUAAAAUUUUCCUAUUUUUUCCUUCUUUUUUUGGUCAAAUGUAUUGUAGUUAAAAAAAUUCCUGAUGUCUGUCUCCUAAUCUUGAUAUCCUACUGCACUUGAAAUUAUAUAUUUCAGUUUGCAACUGGUGUAAUACUUAUACCUUGCAGUGAGUUUAU